GAUUCCAGGUCAGGCAAGUACCAAUGCAACUUUUCUAAGUUUGUAUGUACUUUCUAAGUAUAUCUUAGACACCAAUGGCCGAUAUAAAGGUGAAAGAAAACAUCUUGAGGAAACCUGGACUAUCAAGUCUGAAAUCACCAACCCGCAUUGAGCAAGCGUGGUGAUUAAUGCUCAAUCCUUCUCCGUGUGAGAGGAGACCUGUGCCCUGCAGUGAGACGAUAAAAAGGCUGUAACAGCAAUUGUGAAGUCAUAGGUCGUUAUCAGUUCAUAACCAGUUUUAUAUAAGUUAUUUGGCUUAUUAUCUAACGGUGAUUUACCUAAACCGUGAUUGUUCGUAAUGUCCAACAGGAAAAAGAUUAAAAUAAAAGACUGAUUAUCGUGAUUGAUUGCGUGGUAUUAAUAGUGAGGAAUACUAUCUUGAUCUAAGUAGAUAUUUAACAAAAGGGCUAGUGAUCAAAAUUCAGCAGUCGUUGGUAUUAACAACCCAAUACUAGAUUUUAAACUCGGCAAAACUUCCAAAAUAUUACUUUUUGUUUCUCAUUUUCGUAACAAAAAUAAUAAUAGCACCAAUUUUCUUCAUUUUUGCUUUCUUUCUCUCCAAAGAGAUGUUUUGUAAUAGAAAAAGUUUUAUACAAACUUUUCCUUAUUAUCUGCCUCACUAGAUAUUUUAUAUAAAAUCUAUAGUCUUUGUAUUUUUAUUUAGAAGAACAUAAUGAUAUAAUUUAAAUUGAAAAAACAAAGGAAGGACUAAAAUAACUGUAGCACAGAUAAAAAACAGCAAGGUGAGCGCGUGCGCAUGGUACUUGUUACCUUAUGACGUAUGCGUGCGACGUUGCCGCUCCGUGCUUGACAGUCACACACCGUGUUCCCACUACCGACACAGAGAGACACUGUGUCACCAUUCAUAGCUACACAAAACUAUUUUAUUACUCUGUAACCUACAAGAAUGUUUAAUGAAACACUAUAAAAUAAAUCAUUGUAAUAGUUUAUCGAGAGGGUUUUGCUUAUCUUUAAAAAUGCAAAGCACGUAGAAAGGAAUAGAACAAUCGGAUGCGUCAUCUCUUUCGAGCACGUAGUUUGUCGUCUUUGCUGUCUUUGUCAAGCUCGGUGGAAUGUGGCAACAAGUCUAUAGUUUCGUGUAUGUAAGUCUGUGGCCCACCUGGCCCGUGUGACACAGUUCAAUCAGUGUGUGUUUAGUGAUAGCACCGUCGCGUGCGCACCAACUGUUUACAUUUUUUAUCGAGUUUUGUUGUAUUUUGACAAGUACUAGCUCAAAAUGUUUAUGUCUUAUGAAGUGUUCGCGACUUUCGGGAUAUCUGCUAUCCUGUCCUUCACGUUAUCAGUAAUCCUCCUACUGAUAGUGGCAGCGAAGAGGGGGCUACUCCGAGUGGGUGCUAGUAGCAAGCCAGCCAAGUUCAACCCACUACUGCUGCCCAACACAACGCUGACACCCAAGAUCGUUGAAAUGACGCCUUUGAAAGACCCCGCGUAUUAAAUGACUUGCAGGCCUCGUCAAGUAACUCUGCUGCUCUGAAGUUGGCUAUAAGUUAGUUCAACACAGUAAAAUUAACGAAUAACUCUGAAGGUAGCUAUAGAUGCUUCCUGAUAGUGUUUGUUUAUUAAUCGCUGUUUUGACUAAUAGCCAACUUCAGAGCAGAGCUGUAUAGAAUAGACAGAAGGUGAACCUACGCGAAUCUGUCAAAUGUCGCCAGUCGAACAUUAACCUUCCACUAUUUGUAAUAAGGUUGUAAAUCUAUUGAAGAAAUAUGACAGAUAAAGGUAGGUUUAUGUGCAGUGUGUACAUAAGUUGCACCCUUAUUACGUGAACGAUAGAUAUCCAAUUGUUAUGACUUAGAAAGAAAUGUUGAAAGUUACAACAACGCAAUAAAGAUAACAUUGAAAUGUGGCAAUAAUAAGUAUUGCAAUUGUAAUCGAAGGAUAUCAUGUUACUUACGUAAUUAGAGUGCUUGUGAUCAUAAUGUUUUUACUUUAACUAUUGUCUGUUCGAGAGUGACAUGAAGAUAUAACGACAUAUCAAGCUUAACACGUUCGCGUAAGCAACGUCUUACAACGUCGUAUUGAUAUAAGUAUGAAAAGGCCCAACGUCGUACGACUGCCUCUAGAUUGUCAUAUUUAUUUUGACGGACCAUGUCAGACCUAUGUGGUGGCGACAACGUUUAUAGACGUCGGACGUGAAAUAACGUUGCGCCACAUAACACAGAUUAUAAGACUACGUAUAACGGCGGGACGUCUUAAGACUUGGUUUAAUUUUGUGUGCGAAAAAGGUGCGCCACAGUACCAACAUUUAAAAAUGAGAUUGCUCACGCGAACGUGUUAAAUACUUUAGGAAUUAAUUAAUUCUGUUUUGAUUAAUCAUGAUACGCCCCCCAAGAAUUUAUAGGAGCGUAUCGUAUCAUAAAGAGUGUACAUGAUAUUGCAUAUCAGCUAAAACUUUCCUAAACUGCUGUAUGUUUGUAUAUAUCUUCGUUUCUCUCUCGCACUGUAGUCAAAUUAAUAUGAGGUGUAAAAAUACAUAGAAUUUUAAAACCAAAUUAAUUCUAAGUUAAGAUUGUAAAAACAAAGUACUUAAUGUAAAAUUUUCCGUCCACAAUCGGAUUUGUAAAAGUCACAAAAAUAUGCAUUCCAUUUUAUUAUAAUUUUGAAAUAAUGAAGAUUAUAACAAUUAGUAUAGUCUGUUACCUUGCUGUAUAAUAUAACUAGUCGAAUAAUGUAUUUCAGGUUUACAAAGUUCUUUUAAAGAGCAUUUUAUUUUGUUCUAGAAUCUCGUAAUAUUUCAGUAAGUAUGUAUAUAGUGUAAAAGCUUUAUGAAUUAUAUUCGAUUAUUGAUUAGAUGAAAACAUCAAAUACUAAUCAGAUGUGUGGUUACUGUGGUCAGCUAAUAUGUUAUUUCAAAAUCAAACUGCUUAAAGUUGUGUUUUUUUGGGAAUAAGAGAUACCAUAUUCCAAAGUAUACUUAUAUUCUUUGGCCUUGUAAACGUAUUACAAAAAAUUGUAAUUUGUAAAAAUAAUUGUCACCGCAUAAAAUUGCCUAGAAUUCACUCAAGAACCAUCAGUACUUACCUAAGUUAAUUUGCAUUAACCAGCAUUAAUUAUAACUUGUACUUAACGAUCGCCGGAAUAACUUAAUCGCUUAAUCGUCAUACAAAUUAGUUCGUAAGUGCCAUAUAAGUAAUGAUAUUAAUAUAAUUGUAGAGGUGUUUAUGAGCCGGCUCUAACAGGACCUGCCUACAUAAUUAAUGAAACAUUCGAAUAUAAUUUUGUUAUAAAAUUAGGGCCUUUUAUGUCCUUUGGUCCUCAGUGGUCAUAAAUUAUAAUAAUAUUCAAUAAACAUUUCCAUUUUACAGCGAAAUUCCA